AUGUGAACAGCAGCAAUAACUGUGUCCAAUGCACAUAUUACACAAGUCACGUUCUUGUUAUGAAACGAUGGACCUCCAUUCAACUCUUCAGGUGUCCGUCUUGCCCUCGUCUUCAGCUCGGUUUCCACCUGGAGAACACACACACACACACACACACUCCCCACACACGAGGGUCGGUUGGCGGUGUCCGAUCACGCUGAUGGCGCCUCACUGAGAUGUCGGGAACAAUUACCUCUGCCUCGCUGCCACUCAGGCCCCCGGGGGGGGGGGGGCAGUCAUUAUCUUAACCAGAGGCCGCUCGCGACAGUUAAUUCACAUUAACAGCGGCGCCACCUGGUCGCCGGGCUGCAAUCAGACUCAUUAGCGCUCCUGCAAAGCUCCUUGAAGAUGGGACUUUUUGUUUUAUUUUUUUUGGGGGGCGUUUCCGUAAUGCAGCCGCUGUAAACCUGCUCUGACGUAAUCGUCUAAUACAAAGGCGGGAUUUAAUUCAGUCGUGUUCACUCCAACAACACAGUUAAUCCAACUUUCAGCUCUGAGAACACGAGGAGCCGUAUUUUGUAUUCUUGUGGGUGUGACAUCGGCCAAUGAGUUCAUUCCGUUGUUUUUAAUUGAUUAACACAUUUUUUUAAAAUUAGCUGCACAGGAGAUUUGACACUGAUUGAGUCCUUCCGUCUCUUCCUCCUCGUCCCCUUUUUGCUGCUCCUCUCGGCACGAAGACAAACCUCAGUCAACACAAGGGCGGGCCCUCCCGGGUGAUUGACAGGUCGCCACCACAGAGCGGUAGCGACGGCAGCGUCGGACCUCGCUGUAAUCAUGGUGAUCGAGUCUGCCUGAUCAAAGGUCCACAUCCAGUUUGCUCUGUUUCUCACUUCAACUUGAUUCUCAGGAAGGAAUAAACUGUUUGGUUUUGUUUUUUGUCACUGCGGCUACAUGACACGAGGCCUUUAAGCCAUUUUAGCUCAUAAAAAGUGAACAAAUGAAAACACUGGUGCUCAUUUGCGAUAAAAUCCCACAUGCUCUCGCUCGCGCUCUGCGUCUAAUGUAACCUCUUACAAAUGAAAUAAUCAACAUGUUGCUUGCAACAUGAGUCAUUAAUUGAUAUUGAUAUCGCCCGGCCCUUAAAGUUGUCCCACUGCGCCAGAAGAAGCCUGCGUUUAAAUCCCCCGUUUCCUCGAGUGGGAAGCCAGAGAUUAGUCCAACGGCGACGUCCACAGCACGGACGGUGGUGUCCUUUGAUUGAGCUGUUGUCAUGGUUACCUGGCCGUUCAAUAGAUAC
ensembl:lncRNA